GUAAGCUCUGGUUUGCUCUUUGAGAACAGAAUUACUGUAAAAAGUUUAAUAAAUUCAUUAAAUUCAGUUCUUUUUUUAAAACCGGGUAGCCUGACAAAGAAAAGAGGCUUACAGCAAGCAAAAUAAAUCGCUUGUCAAGAUGAUAUUCAAGACUGAAAAAUUCAAGUGCAUUCAAGGAGUUCCAAAAAUCAUCGCUACCCUGCUCCAUAAAAGAUUACUCUUCAAAUGUGUGCAAGUGACAAGCCGGAGAAAAACUGAAGCGGAUCGUCAUGAUGAGCAACUGUGAAGCAUAUCAACACAAAUCAACCUUGGCAAAUGUCGAAAGAAACAAAGAAAGAUAAGGGCAUUUACAAUAUUUCAUGCAAUAUGGUUCAUUCUAUAUUUGUCGUUUCGCUUUCCGGCAGAGUAUAUUUUUUCGGGAGCGUCCAUUUCUCUAACUUAAGGACUUCUGUUAACGGCAGCAGCGUUCAUUUUUUCGGCAGCGUUCAUUUUUUCGGUUGCGUUCAUUUUUUCGGCAGCGUUCAUUUUUUCG